CUCCAAAUUUCAUUUUCCCCCAAAUCUUGAAACUGUGAAAGCUAAAGGAGUGAAAGGCGAUUGGGGCGAUUGGCGAAGCUGAAGGAAGGGACUGGCGAUUGGGCGAAUGUGAGCGUGAGGAGAUGAGGAGGAGGAGUCGUGAUUGCAGCGAACUCAAUGAUGGAAAUAAGAAAGGUAGUAAUGGUUUAUUAUCGUCUUCUUCUAGAGAGCCAAUUUGUGAUGAAAUGCUGGAAGAUUGGCUUGAUCCUCACAUUUUGACUCAAAUUCCGGAUCUUGGAGGUGAUUGGCUUGCUAAUAUUUGAAUAUAUCUAUUUUCUUAGCCAAAUAUAUGUGAUAGAAAGAACUUAACUAAUUUCUAACAUGUUGUGUAGUUAAAUAAGUGUGUACCAGUGGAUAUUCUUUGAAGAAAAAUGAUGACUGUUUGUCUUUGCUUUUUCUUGAAUUAAUUUUUUUUCUUAUCUCUACCAAUUUUACCUCAAUAUUUCAAAAUUAUUUCUUGUUUUGACACGGUGAAAAGUUAAGUUCAAUUCGUAAAAGGAUUUUGACAGAGAAUUCUAUAUACAAGAAAUUUAUCAUUGGCCACAAGAAAAGUGCAUUUUAUGGGGAAAAAACAUGAAAAAAUUGUAUUUUGAUUCUUUACUGAAAUAAGAUGAAAGCUAUAAAUGAUGUGAGUGUUGCAAAGGUUGUAUCGUACAAUUUUUUUUUUUUUUAGCAUUUUGGGUUUUAUUGAAUUAUAUUUUCAUAUAUAUAUAAUUUUUACGUUUUAAUGCAUUUACAUAUAUAUAUAUAUAUAUAUAUAUAUAUAUAUAUAUAUUGAAUAAUUUAAUAUUAUUUAAUCAAAUUUUAAUAAACGAUCGGCUAUUAUGAUCGUUGAUUGUUGACGGUCAACGACCAUCCUAGGUCGACUUCGGUGCUGGAUUCGCAACUGCUUAUACCACUGUAGUUUUCUAUCAUAACAAAGGAAUUAUUUUAUUUUAUUUUUAUUAAGGGUUAGGUUCAACGCUGGGCAAUUAGGUCUCAAUCACUAGAAGUUCUGGCGUAAUUUUUUUUUUCUUUCAAUUUUAGGUUCAACGCUGGGCAAUUGGGUCUCAAUCACUAGAAGUACUGGUGUCCUGAGCAUGCUAAACUGGAAAAAGCAAUUAAGGAGUUGUGACAUUUUCCAACACCAUAUACCAUUUUAUUGUUGUCUUAUUUGGAAAUUAUUGUUUAAAAAAAAAAAAAAGGUUGAACCCCAACCUUGAAGGCGUCUACCGCCCCCCUCUUAGAGCUUUGUGAGGGAGGUAAAUUACGGGAUGUACCCCAGCAGGUCAGGGAAAAAGAGCUGCCUGUACACUGAGCCUAUAAGGAAAUUUGGAAAUUGUUGUUUGAGAGGCUGCUUCAUGGUUUAUGAUAAGUCUUGGAUUGCUCUCUACGAUAAUUGCACAUAGGGUAAUUGCCAGCCCAGUGGUAACCAGUCUCUGGAAAGUGAAACUUACCAUGGAACUGUUUGGCUAGAAGGGAGUGGAAUAUCAGGGAAAAAUGGUGACUGAUUCUGGACUGACGAGCAAUUUUCGUAAAUUGGUCACUGUUAUACAUGAAUUUACGACAUUUCUGUGCUCUAAUAUUAUCUUAAACUACCGAAUCAAAAAUUAAGACUAUUAGACCGAGGAUAAAUUAAUUUAUUUCUGUUUUAUGUUCAAACUUGGGGUUAGAUAACUUCCCACGGUUGAAGAGAC
rnacentral:lncRNA from 1 species